GAGUUUGAUCAUGGCUCAGAUUGAACGCUGGCGGCAUGCUUUACACAUGCAAGUCGAACGGCAGCGCGGGCUUCGGCCUGGCGGCGAGUGGCGAACGGGUGAGUAAUAUAUCGGAACGUACCCAAGAGUGGGGGAUAACGUAGCGAAAGUUACGCUAAUACCGCAUACGAUCUAAGGAUGAAAGCAGGGGAUCGCAAGACCUUGUGCUCCUGGAGCGGCCGAUAUCUGAUUAGCUAGUUGGUGAGGUAAAGGCUCACCAAGGCAACGAUCAGUAGCUGGUCUGAGAGGACGACCAGCCACACUGGAACUGAGACACGGUCCAGACUCCUACGGGAGGCAGCAGUGGGGAAUUUUGGACAAUGGGGGCAACCCUGAUCCAGCCAUGCCGCGUGAGUGAAGAAGGCCUUC
rnacentral:rRNA from 1 species